GGGCCAUUAGCUCAGUUGGUUAGAGCUACCGGCUCAUAACCGGUUGGUCCGGGGUUCGAGUCCCUGAUGGCCCACCA
rnacentral:tRNA from 2 species